AAUUUCAGACAGAAACAGCUGCAUACUCAACAUGCAGCAAGGCGUUACCAAGCGAACACAGAUACAUGUUUCUUUGUUUGGAUGAGGAUGUAUGGUGAAAAACAGCAGUGUGCGGUAUUCACGUGGGACAUCUGUGGAUUCAGCUGUAGACAGAACAUUCUGUAGAGACAGGCUUUCCAGUCCCCAGGCUCCAGAGCUACAUCCUUGGAGUUCACCUGGGAAAAGGAAAAACAAGCACGUCGUGCCUCCUCUCCAUGCACUCUGGGGACAGACCACUUCCAGUCACAGCAACACCCUCGAGAGGAACACAUGAUGCCUCU